AUAAAUUAUUUUAGAAACAUGUGUAGAUAUAUUUAGAGGGAGAUUUGACCCAUGUUUUUACCAGGUGAGAGAUCCAAUAUAAAAGGAAGUCACAGUGGUAAAGAAUGUAAGGUUGUCAUCAGGCCACAGAAAAUCUCUUCACAAAUUCUUUAUUUCCACGUUGGUGUUCAGGAACAGAGGAAUGCAAGAUCAAACCAGCUCACAUGCUGCAACACUUAAAGUAGCCUGUUUUAAAAAUAGAAAUCAGAUCUGAUCUCUCUUUGGAAGUAAAAAAAAGUAUUGUGCAGAAAGUUACAAGAAGUUCUGGAUCAGAUUAUGUGGUCAGCAGCCUAAGUGGCUUAAAAUGAUCAAAACUCCAGUAAAAGAAAAAGUCUUUCAAAAGACUGUUGAGAUUGCUCUGGAUAUUUGUGUUCGAGUGGUCACAGCGUGACCAACACCCAGCCCAGAGCAGCUGAAGUGGAGGAGCAGGGCAGCCACCCAUGGGGUGAAACAUCACUGUCACUGGAGAGUGAAUUACAGCCUGGCAGUCAGUGACAGGUGACACCAAAUUACAGCCACUGUGCCAAAGGAAAAGACUCCAAGGGGCUCCUGGCUUGGAGCCCACCUUGGUGGGAGCUGUGUCUCUGUCUGGGAUGCACACAGGAUGUCCUCACUGGCUCCAAGGGGUGGUUCCCGUGGCUGAACAUCUCCUGGGAGUCAGGAAAAGCAGAGAGCAGUGGAAGAGGCAGCAGCCUGGCAGCUAAUAAACAGCACGUUACUCUGCAUCUCAUAAAUCUCCACCAAGUUCGUUUAUUCUCCUCUGAGAAUGAAUAACUAAUGAGAAGCCUCCUCUUGCCAGUUAUUGUGGCACGACACAGAGCGGGUUGGAUGUGGAGCUGCUAUUAAUAGCACUGAACGAGCUGCUAAUUGGGCAGUUAUGUAAUGGCUUUGUUAUGAAACCUAGUUUGGGUUUGACACCUUCUGUUUGCUAAAAACAACAGUAAAACCCCCAAACAAACCCAGGGUUAGCAGUGCGUGACAUGAAAUAAAGGCUGAAUAAUUACCAAUGUUUCAAAACUCAAACAGAAUGAAAAAGGGGGGAAAAAUCAAUUUGUUUCUCUGAAUCGCAGCAGAAGUGAGCUGGAAGCAAAUCGUACCACAGAUCUGCUGUUCAAAGGGAUACUUCAAAGUAACUUUCUCUAAUACCUGCCCUGCAAAUGCUGACAAAAAUCCUCCAAGCGACCUGUUUCUGCAACUUGCAAAGUCUCAGAAAGUAUUUCUUUAAUUUAAAAAAGUUGUGCUUUGAAUGAGCACAGACAGAACAUAUUUGAAGGAGAAAGAAGGACCAGAAAAUGCCUGUGUGACACACUCUGGUACAAAUCGUGCUCGAGGAUGAGGCACGAAUCCCUGCUCUUGUAAGUGACAGUAGAUAACCUAUAGAGUUUGACAUUUUAAAAGUAACUUAUAAAAAAAAAAAGGGAGAGAAACAGGUGGGGAUGACAUUUUGUUCCCUGCUGUACAGAAGGAGAGAAGAUUGCAGUGCAUUAGGAAGGAAGCUUUUAUCCAGGGUGGCCCUUUGGAGUGGCUCUGCUCCUCCUUACUCUGAAGGCUGGACAUCAGUGAUGCAAUUUACAGCCCUGGGAGCUGCUCCUCCUGGUGAAACCCAGCUACUGUCCCCUGCUUGUCAGGUGCUUCUCCUCUGGAUACACCAAACACAGCAGCAUCCAGAGCCUGCAAGAAGGAUCCCUACAAAGUGUUUUUUGCACCCUUUGCAUUGCCUGCCUGCAGUGAUGGUACAUCUACUACAAUUCCCUGUGUAUCCUGCUGAUCCUUGUUUUUCCCAAGAUAAGGCAACCUAAGCCUUCUUGUUGGAAAUGCCUGGAAGUGUUUACAAAGCACUCCCCAAAAGCAUUCAGAAGGAAGGCUGGGCACGAUUUCAGUGCUGGCAUGCCAAUGUGGGCUCCUGUGUUUCCUGCUUCCCUUGCAGCCCUGGCAGCCUCUGUGGAGUUUGUCAGCCAAGAUCACACUUAGUUCCUCACCUUGAUGAUAUUGAGGUUGUCACAGCCAGCUUUUCCACAUGCAGAUCUUUCUCUUGGGUUUACAUGGCAAGGUAAUACUAAAAUGAGUCCUACCAGGUCAGAGAAAUGCACAUAUUUCCCAGAGUCUCUCACCACUGAACGAGAAGUAACAAACCCCUGGGAACUCUGGAAGGGGAACCAUUUAUGCUUUCUGAGUCAGCCAGUCACACAGGCUUCAAGACUGGUGCUCAAACUUCCAGAAAUCACAGAAUGGUUUGGGUUGGAGGGGAUCUCAAAGCUCAUCUCAUUCCAAACUCCUGCCGUGGGCAGGGACACCUUCCAUAGACCACGUUGCUCCAAGCCCCAGGAAACACUUGAUUUACAGCUUGAAAUGUCUUUUUUUAGUAGUGUUUAUAUUUCAAAUCCAUGUCAUGAAAGCCAGUGGCAAAAGGUCGUAUUCAUGGAGUGUUACUGACUCUAAUUGCUUGUAAAAAGGACUGUGUAAACAAUGGAAUAUUUUGUUUGCUAAGAAUUCAUUAAAAAUUACUCAGCUCAAAAUAACCAGGACAAGUGCAUUAAAAAGAAAUCACUCUCUUCAAAAGCAUUAUUUUAAAGGAUUAUUCUUAAUUAAGAAUACUUCAAAUUAAAAAAAAAGAGAGAGAAGAAAAAUGUGUUCUUUAAAAUUCUGAGCUGAAACUUGAAUCCUAUCAGAGCAUUCCUUUUUUGUUUUUCCAGUGCAAACAAAUGAAAACAUCUGUUUUGCUCAAGCCUGUACUUUUGUCCUUGCCCCACACAGAAAGAUAAAAAAUAAGGCAUUAAUUUUUCAUUUCUUUCUCCCUGUGGAGCUUCCAGAGGCAGGAGUUAAGUGGCCAGCAAUGCCUCGCAGCCUGUCAGGAGUGAUGCUUUUUUAGGCCAGAGAGAGCCUUUGGUCUCCUGCAUAGCAAGAGCGUGACAGAAUCACUGAGCUAUCAAAUCAGUUAUGCUGCCAGCAUCUUCCUGCUCCACUGAGGAGGGAAUUAAUCCCACCUAAGAGUGCUCCAGAGGCAGAGAGCACACACACUGCCCUGCUCGGGCAGCAGGGUGCUUGCCAGGAGUGUCACUCGUGGAGAAAGAAUUCCUUUCCUUUGGGGAACCUUCAAGGAGUUAUGUGGUGGGACAGCAGCAGCGAGAGAACUUCUCCAGGGGGAGGAAACAAGCCCUGGGGCAGGUGCAGCAGCUCCACCAUGGGUCUCCAUAACCCAUCAGAGGCCAGGCAAGCCUGGGACUGGCAGCAGCUUCUGGAGUCAGCACUGGUCCCAUGGGAGGUGGUGCUGAGGGAGCUGCUCCAGCAGAAGGCCUUGGGACAGGCUUUAGGGCACCCUCAUCACUUGGAAAGGAGGGAGUGAGUCUCUGGCACGAUGUCACCAGUCCUUCUGCCCUCCAUUUAUCCAAGUCCAGCAGCUCCAGUGAGAAAACGAGAGAGGUGCAACAUGUGGUGCAGCAGAGAAUUCCACACUGACCUAAAUCUGUGCUUCCAGUUCCAGCUGUGGCAAUGAACUGCAAACCCAUGCAUUUUCUGUCUGAAUUCUCCCAGUUGAUCCUCUUUUUUUACGCUGUUCUUACAUCUUUCCUGGUUUCCAUGUACAUUUUUGAUCCUUCCAUUGCUUUACUGCAGUGAUGUCCCUCUGACUGCUCCACUGCUGUCCAUUAGUUUCCCCAAGAGCUUUGCCCCAGCAAUAUGUGCAGCCCUGGGCAGGACCAAGAUUUCUGUUAAAGACCAUCUGCUCAUAAAGUGAGUGUUCAUCUACACCCCAGAUUGCUCAGGUGUUCUGGGCAUUUCCUGCCCAGGCCUCUGCUGUAAGUGCCUGCUGCACCUGGUCACAAAUGAAACAUAGAUUAUUCCUAGCAGCCCUCAAAAUGAGCAGUACACACACAAAUGACCUCUUGGAAGCUCUCUUGACUCCUGCAAAAUGUAAGAAAAUUGAAUGUCUGUAUUUGCAAGGUCAGAAAUUAAACGAAAUCUCACUUCAGCUGUCUAAAGCCAUACAAAGCAAAGACCUCACUGAAUAGCAAACUCCUAAAAUAAAUACAAUUUCCUUUACCACAAUAAAUGUUUCAGUAUAAAGUUGAAUAUAUAAUUCAUUCCACUUAUCUGUAACAUUUUGUUAAACUUCAGGAAUUUUAAGUGAACGACUUCAGUUUCUUACAGGCUUGAACUUCUCUCUUGAAAACCUUUUGGAGAAGAAAAAUGUGCCCUGGGAUCACUUUGAAGCAUUUUUUUGGUUCAUUGUUGAGAUCUGACCUUCUUCAACAGCAGAUAAAUUGUUUCUGUGGCCUUAAUGGAAAUCUGAAGCUCUACCCAGCAUUUAGAAUUUCCCCACACGGACCGGAUCCUUGGCUGCCAUCCUGCCUGCUUUGGUCUGCUCAGGAGGAAUUUGGGGAAUGUACCAAAUGUUUAAACAGCAGCUACAAAUUCAGGUUUUCUUCAGCUCAAGAGGGAACUACAAUUAAGGCAUGAUUGUUGUAAGGAGAAAAAACCCUCUCAGCUGGAGGGUUUCCAAGCUACUCAUCAGUUCCCUAGUGUUUCUCUUACAGAAAUUCAUCUAGUCCUGUGAUAUCAGUCUUGUAAACAAAGACUUCCUUUACUUACCUCCUGUGAUAAAAUUCAUGCUUGAUAUUGUUCUAGGAACUCCUUGGCCCCUUCUUGUCCUUUUAACAAGAUUGGGAAAUGUGGAAAAAAAGAAAAA